UCCCCUCUUUUACUGUCACAUGUUUCUACUCAAAGAAAUCUCAAACAAAGUAAGAGUUUUGUAGCUGCUAAAAUCUAAAAUUCAAGUUCAAACCAAGCUCCGUUCCGGCUGGAUUUGUCUUCUUAACUGAGAGUACGAGAGGAGCUUGCAGCAGUAAGCCGGGCAGAGCUUACGGUAAGCUUAUCGCGUCAAAAGUUAGUAUUUUGUUGUUCAUAAUAUGUAUAUCACGGGGAUAAAUCUGGGGUAGUCUUAUGUUGCUCAUGGCCCAUGCUUUUGAUAUUUUUUGUUGUACAUAAAAAUGUGGGAAUAUUGUUUGUUGGAUGGUUUCCUAUCGGUGUCAACUAAUAUGCAUUUUGUCGUAUUUUGCUUUGUAUAUAUAUAGAACUGUACUAGCAGAUCUCUUUUGUAUGUAUUACUUUCUUUUAA